rnacentral:rRNA from 1 species
ACGUAGGGUGCAAACGUUGUCCGGAAUUACUGGGUGUAAAGGGUGCGCAGGCGGGUAGGUUCGUCAGAGGUUAAAUAUUUCGGCUCAACCGAAAAAAUGCCUUUGAUACGGCCUAUCUUGAGUACGAGAGAGGAUGAUAGAAUUCCUGGUGUAGCGGUGAAAUGCGUAGAUAUCAGGAGGAAUACCAGUGGCGAAGGCGGUCAUCUGGCUCGUAACUGACGCUUAGGCACGAAAGUGUGGGUAGCGAACAG